AGAGUAUGGCCAUGGGGGCACCCUGACCCCGCGACUCCGCGUGAGGGAUGAAGGCCUUCGGGUUGUAAAGCUCUUUCGGCGGGGACGAAAAUGACGGUACCUGCAGAAGAAGCUGCGGCUAACUACGUGCCAGCAACCGCGGUAAUAGCUG
rnacentral:rRNA from 1 species